GGGACCGAACCCGCAACCUCAUGGUUCCCAGUCGGAUUCGUUAACCACUGCGCCAUGACGGGAACUCCUAUAUAAGGUUUCUAACCUUUUCCCUCUUUGUGUGUCUGAAAAGGUUGAGGUUUAUUGAGAUAGAAAUAUUUGAAGACAUAUAAGAGAAAAUAACCACGGCAUAUACAAACACUUGCUGCAAGAGGAUGUCUGAGGUAUUUAUCCACUGCCUGGGCUACCUGUGUGCUGUCAUGUCUCUCCUGGUUAGAGCACUUGUGAGGCGGGGAAGAGGAGAGGACGGAGCUGCCCUAGCUGCCACAGGGCCAUCAGGACUGUACCUUCGGGGGAAGCUCCUCUGGCUCAGUGCCCUGUUCUGGGGGCUCUUGCUAGUGCCCACUCUUCUGGACUUUCAGGCUGAGACCCUCUUGUCUUUGAGGGCAACAAGGGUUCACUGAGAGGUUGAGGCUAGGCCAUCUGCCUGAGGAAGGGGAGAGAACCCAGGGACCAGCAAGACACAGGUGCCUUCCCUGUGCCCUUUGUGACCAAGCCCCUGAGCAAGACAUAUUGGCCAAAUGAACAUGAUGCCUUCAAGUGGCCCAGCUCCACUCAGCUGGUGUGCCCACACACUGUGAGGCUUGAAGGAGGUCACCCCCAGCACACGGGGCUGUGUCUGUGUGUGUGAGAGAGAGAGUGUGUGGAGGGCUGGGGGAGGGAAGGGAGAAGAUACAAUCCAGCGGAACUGCAGCUUCCCAGGCCAAGGUCUGUUUUGUGCUCAAGCCUUUUGACUGCCCUUUUCCUUCCUAGACAGGAUUGAAUGUUAGCCAUGACGUGGGUGCGGCCCGCGUGGCCUUCCACCACCACAGCCGUCAUCACAGUGGGUGGGGUUCUGCUGAACCCUGCUGGGUUUACUCCACUGAGAGGUGAGUCUUGUUCAAAGUCACCUUUCCUUUCCCACACAGGAGCAGUCUGGUCCACCUCAGGGGCCAAGAGAAGAGACACCACUUUCUCAAUGCUUCAUCCCCUGGGGCAGCUCGACCUCUGCAAAGCCCGUGGCCUGGCCCUGUCUGAGAGAUUCCAGAUGAAGAUUGCUGCCAGUGGCAAUGUAGAAGAAAAUCUUUCCAUCCUGGUAACUGGGGAGAAAUAACAUGAGGUAGGAGCACACCUUGUUUGUCACACACUCUAAGCAAUCUCCUGUCUACUUCGGAAGGAUAAAGCCAGUGGGAAGCAUAUGCAGAUAGAAAUAACCAUCCCCAAGCUGCUUCAUGAUUCCGUUUAGCCUCUUGCCCGUUCAGAGUCCCAAACACUUAUAUAAAAAAGCACCGACCCUCUUUAGAGUUCCCAGCUCCUGUAAGCUGUGGUCUCUGGAACAAUCGUCCCUUUUAGCAAUCCUUGCCAGACGAAUCUGUUGCUAAAUGAAAGACUCAGAAAAGAGAAACACUUUAUCCUGAGCGGGGAGAGUUUUCUGUUGGCUGACCCAAUGAAUUCCGUUCCUUCUCCACAGAAUACUGAAGCUGGAAGGAAACCUUUGAGAUGGCUGAGCACUCUCACUUUACAGAAGUGGAAACUGGGUUAGAGCACUUAACCUGUUUGCGUUAAUAAGAGAUGCAUGUCCUAACUCAGAUCGCCUGAAUCCUGGAGGCUUUGUACCAUGUCAAGGAUAAAGCAUCCAUGAGGAAAUUCAAGCCCAUCACUGAGGGACUGGUUCAGUAAAUCAUGGUGUGUCCAAAAGUAGACGAUUAUGCCGUCGUUCAAAGCACAGAAUGAGGUAGACCUACAUGCGCUGAUGUCAAAUGUCCACAUAUAAAGUGAAAAAAGAGGGACAAGUGGACACGAAGAAGUCGAACGUGGGUCUGUACGGUUGGAGAAGAGCAAGAUAAAUCAUGCCUGAGCAAAGGAGCAAGAUGGAAGGGAUUUGAAUACUUCUGCAGAGAUCUGUGUUCAGAAAG